rnacentral:rRNA from 1 species
CAGACCGCCAGCUAAGGUCCCAAAGUCAUGGUUAAGUGGGAAACGAUGUGGGAAGGCCCAGACAGCCAGGAUGUUGGCUUAGAAGCAGCCAUCAUUUAAAGAAAGCGUAAUAGCUCACUGGUCGAGUCGGCCUGCGCGGAAGAUGUAACGGGGCUAAACCAUGCACCGAAGCUGCGGCAGCGACGCUUAUGCGUUGUUGGGUAGGGGAGCGUUCUGUAAGCCUGUGAAGGUGUGCUGUGAGGCAUGCUGGAGGUAUCAGAAGUGCGAAUGCUGACAUAAGUAACGAUAAAGCGGGUGAAAAGCCCGCUCGCCGGAAGACCAAGGGUUCCUGUCCAACGUUAAUCGGGGCAGGGUGAGUCGACCCCUAAGGCGAGGCCGAAAGGCGUAGUCGAUGGGAAACAGGUUAAUAUUCCUGUACUUGGUGUUACUGCGAAGGGGGGACGGAGAAGGCUAUGUUGGCCGGGCGACGGUUGUCCCGGUUUAAGCGUGUAGGCUGGUUUUCCAGGCAAAUCCGGAAAAUCAAGGCUGAGGCGUGAUGACGAGGCACUACGGUGCUGAAGCAACAAAUGCCCUGCUUCCAGGAAAAGCCUCUAAGCAUCAGGUAACAUCAAAUCGUA